GAUACUAGGGGUGGACAUCGGUUGGGUUGGAUCGGUUUUCGGGCCCAAAUUCCCAAUCCGACCUAACCAUCGGUUGGAAAAAACAUAACCAAAACCGACCGGUUUGCAAUUCGGUUAUUUUCGGUUUCGGUUUUGUUCGGUUCGGUUUCAUAAUGCGGUUUAUUCGGUUUUAAAAAUAAUUGAGCUCAUUCCAAAAGAAACCCAACACAAGUGGAUUUUAUCUAGGAUUUAAAUAGCACAAUUUUAUACUAGUCUUUAAACUUUUAGUUUACUUAUGAACAAAAAAAUAAAACAAUAUAUCUUAAAACUUAUGAAAUUGCUGCAUUUUUCGGAAAUGGAUUGAACAAUCAUUGUUAACAUUUGUAUUCUAAAUUUCUACUCAUAUUAUAUCUAUCUUGCUGACAUGGAUACAGGGCCGUUCAAUGUAACAAAUGUCUUUGAGUUCCAUAAUGGACGGUGGUAUAUGGUUCAUCAUCACAGUUCUGUGAUGAAUGGGGAUGUAGAGCAACAAAUUAUGCAUGGAUAGUAAUAGUAAGAGAGAUGAUAUGUUAUUAUGUCUGAUACUGGUCUCAGAAAAGGAAAUUGCAAUGGGGCCAAAAAAGUGUGAAAAAUAGAUUAAGUGGAUUAAAGUAAAUACAAAAGAUCGAUGGAAAAGAUUACAUGUGAAUCAACGUCCAAUACAUCGGUGAGACUUGUGAAAAACCAAGGCUGUGCAGUUGCAGGAGUUACUAAUUCAAAAGUAUAGUCCAAUUUUGGCGUGCAUUUUAGUUCUCUAGCAGUGUGUGCAUUUUUCAAUAUUGUAAGAGACAAGUCCAUUCCGGCAAUGCAAUAUCCAAUCAACCUUCAAUGCAAUAUCCAAUCAACCUUACCUAUAGAUGAUCAUCAAUCAACAAUCGUAUAUAUAAGAGCUAGUGCAUAACAAUUUCUAUAACAAAAGAUAAAAUCAAAUCAAAUUCUUUUCAUAAGCUAUUACCAAGUUCAAGUGAUGAACACGCGUUAACACCUUAAGCUCGGCAAAAAAUUCUUUUGAUGCUUUCA